rnacentral:rRNA from 1 species
UACAGAGGUCUCAAGCGUUGUUCGGAUUCAUUGGGCGUAAAGGGUGCGUAGGCGGCGCGGUAAGUCGGGUGUGAAAGUCUCGGAGCUUAACUCCGAAACUGCAUUCGAUACUGCCGUGCUUGAGGACUGGAGAGGAGACUGGAAUUACGGUGUAGCUGGUGAAAUGCGUAGAGAUCGUAAGGAAGACCAGUGGCGAAGGCGAGGUCUCUGGACAGUUCCUGACGCUGAGGUGCGAAAGCGUGGGGAGCAAACAGG